UUUGGAGAGGUGGUAUGUGGCACCUGGUGUCACACGAAUUAAGGUUCGAGAAGGCCGCCUUCGAGGAGCUCUCUUUCUCCCUCCAGGAGAGGGUCUCUUCCCAGGGGUAAUUGAUUUGUUUGGUGGUUUGGGUGGGCUGCUUGAAUUUCGGGCCAGCCUCCUAGCCAGUCAUGGCUUCGCCUCCUUGGCCUUGGCUUACCAUAACUAUGAAGACCUGCCCCCCAAACCAGAAGUAACAGAUUUGGAAUAUUUUGAGGAGGCUGCCAACUUUCUCCUGAGACAUCCAAAGGGUCUUUGGCUCAGGCGUUGGGGUAGUCUCUGUAUGUCAAGGAGUACAGAUUGGACUAUCUAUGGCUAUUUACCUAAAGCAAGUCACAGCCACGGUACUUAUUAAUGGGACCAACUUUCCUUUUGGCAUUCCACAGGUAUAUCGUGGUCAGAUCCAUCAGCCCCUUCCCCAUUCUGCACAAUUAAUAUCCAUCAAUGCCUUGGGGUUACUAGAGCUCUAUCGCACUUUUGAGACAACUCAAGAUGGGGCCAGUCAAUAUUUGUUUCCUAUUGAAGAGGCCCAGGGGCAAUUCCUCUUCAUUGUAGGAGAAGGUGAUAAGACUAUCAACAGCAAAGCACAUGCUGAACAAGCCAUAGGACAGCUGAAGAGACAUGGGAAGAACAACUGGACCCUGCUAUCUUACCCUGGGGCAGGCCACCUGAUAGAACCUCCCUAUUCUCCUCUGUGCUGUGCCUCAACGACCCACGAUUUGAGGUUACACUGGGGAGGAGAGGUGAUCCCACACGCAGCUGCACAGGAACAUGCUUGGAAGGAGAUCCAGAGAUUUCUCAGGAAGCACCUCAUUCCAGAUGUGACCAGUCACCUCUAAGAAGACUAGAUAUUCCUAGAAAAUAAAGAAGCAAAUCUCUUUACCAGGACCUUCUCUCAAUUUUCAUGGUGGAAUGUCUCCCCCAAC
rnacentral:lncRNA from 1 species